CGAGGUUCUGGGAAGAUGGCGAAGGUCUCAGAGCUUUACGAUGUCACUUGGGAAGAAAUGCGAGAUAAAAUGAGAAAAUGGAGAGAAGAAAACUCACGAAAUAGUGAGCAAAUUGUGGAAGUUGGAGAAGAAUUAAUUAAUGAAUAUGCUUCUAAGCUUGGAGAUGAUAUUUAGAUCAUAUAUGAACAGGUGAUGAUUGCUGCACUAGACUAUGGUCGGGAUGACUUGGCAUUGUUUUGUCUUCAAGAGCUAAGAAGACAGUUCCCUGGCAGUCACAGAGUCAAGCGAUUAACAGGCAUGAGAUUUGAAGCCAUGGAAAGAUAUGAUGAUGCUAUACAGCUAUAUGAUAGGAUUUUACAAGAAGAUCCAACUAACACUGCUGCAAGAAAGCGUAAGAUUGCCAUUCGAAAAGCCCAGGGGAAAAAUGUGGAGGCCAUCCGGGAACUGAAUGAGUAUCUGGAACAAUUUGUUGGAGACCAAGAAGCCUGGCAUGAACUUGCAGAACUUUAUAUCAAUGAACAUGACUAUGCAAAAAAAGGCUUUUGUUUAGAGGAACUAAUGAUGACUAAUCCACACAACCACUUAUACUGUCAGCAGUAUGCUGAAGUUAAAUAUACCCAAGGUGGACUUGAAAACCUCGAACUUUCAAGAAAGUAUUUUGCACAGGCAUUGAAACUGAACAACAGAAAUAUGAGAGCUUUGUUUGGGCUUUAUAUGUCGGCAAGUCAUAUUGCUUCUAAUCCAAAAGCAAGUGCAAAAACGAAAAAGGACAACAUGAAAUACGCUAGUUGGGCAGCUAGUCAAAUAAACAGAGCUUAUCAGUUUGCAGGUAGAAGUAAGAAGGAAACCAAAUAUUCUCUUAAGGCAGUCGAAGACAUGUUGGAAACAUUACAGAUCACCCAGUCUUAAGGUUUCAAAAACUCUGACAUUAGAUUUCAAAACUGCACAAUUGAACUUAUUGGCCUGUAACUUACUUACUAAAUGCCCAGUGCUAUUUAUAUGCUACAGUAAUUUUCUGUUAAGAAGGCAGUUGUAAAGAAUGUGUUUAUAUAAACCUAAAAAUGCCUUUUACUGCCAAGUGGGAAGAUGGGGGAAAUCCAUGGAAUAGAGAUUUAAGACUUACUGAUUGCACAUCAGUCUCUUCAUAUCACACAAACACACACACACACACACACACACACAUAUAUAUAAACCUAAUGUAGAAUAACCUUGUUAAAUAAACCGUGAUGAUUUA